UACACAUGCAAGUCGAACGGUAACAUUUCUAGCUUGCUAGAAGAUGACGAGUGGCGGACGGGUGAGUAAUGCUUGGGAACUUGCCUUUGCGAGGGGGAUAACAGUUGGAAACGACUGCUAAUACCGCAUAAUGUCUUCGGACCAAACGGGGCUUAGGCUCCGGCGCAAAGAGAGGCCCAAGUGAGAUUAGCUAGUUGGUAAGGUAACGGCUUACCAAGGCGACGAUCUCUAGCUGUUCUGAGAGGAAGAUCAGCCACACUGGGACUGAGACACGGCCCAGACUCCUACGGGAGGCAGCAGUGGGGAAUAUUGCACAAUGGGGGAAACCCUGAUGCAGCCAUGCCGCGUGUGUGAAGAAGGCCUUCGGGUUGUAAAGCACUUUCAGUUGUGAGGAAAAGUUAGUAGUUAAUACCUGCUAGCCGUGACGUUAACAACAGAAGAAGCACCGGCUAACUCCGUGCCAGCAGCCGCGGUAAUACGGAGGGUGCGAGCGUUAAUCGGAAUUACUGGGCGUAAAGCGCACGCAGGCGGUUUGUUAAGCUAGAUGUGAAAGCCCCGGGCUCAACCUGGGAUGGUCAUUUAGAACUGGCAGACUAGAGUCUUGGAGAGGGGAGUGGAAUUCCAGGUGUAGCGGUGAAAUGCGUAGAUAUCUGGAGGAACAUCAGUGGCGAAGGCGACUCCCUGGCCAAAGACUGACGCUCAUGUGCGAAAGUGUGGGUAGCGAACAGGAUUAGAUACCCUGGUAGUCCACACCGUAAACGCUGUCUACUAGCUGUGUGUGUCUUUAAGACGUGCGUAGCGAAGCUAACGCGCUAAGUAGACCGCCUGGGGAGUACGGCCGCAAGGUUAAAACUCAAAUGAAUUGACGGGGGCCCGCACAAGCGGUGGAGCAUGUGUUUAAUUCGAUGCAACGCGAAGAACCUUACCUACACUUGACAUGCUGAGAAGUUACUAGAGAUAGUUUCGUGCCUUCGGGACUCAGACACAGGUGCUGCAUGCUGUCGUCAGCUCGUGUCGUGAGAUGUGGGUAGUCCCGCACGAGCGCACCAUGUCUAGUGCAGCUUAAGUGGUACUCUAGAGACUGCGUGACAAACCGGAGAAGUGGGACGACGUCAGUCAUCAUGGCCUUACGGUAGGCUACAACUGCUACAUGGCAUUCCGAGGGGAGCCAAAAGGAUGUGUGAGCGGACCCCUUCAAAAAGUGUGGGUA
rnacentral:rRNA from 1 species